GUUUGGCCUCCACGUGCCUGCAUGACCUCCCUCCAACGCCUGUGUAUGCUCCUGAUGAGGUGGCGGAUGGUCUCCUGAGGGAUCUCCUCCCAGACCUGGACUAAAGCAUCUGCCAACUCUUGGACAGUCUGUGGUGCAACGUGACGUUGGUGGAUGGAGCACCCAGAUGUACUCAAUUGGAUUCAGGUCUGGGGAACGGGCGGGCCAGUCCAUAGCAUCAGUGCCUUCUUCUUGCAGGAACUGCUGACACACUCCAGCCACAUGAGGUCUAGCAUUGUCUUGCAUUUGGAGGAACCCAGGGCCAACCGCACCAGCAUAUGGUCUCACAAGGGGUCGGAGGAUCUCAUCUCGGUACCUAAUGGCAGUCAGGCUACCUCUGGCAAGCACAUGGAGGGCUGUGCAGCCCCCCAAAGAAAUGCCACCCCACACCAUUACUGACCCACUGCCAAACUGGUCAUGCUGGAGGAUGUUGCAG